UUAUUUAAGAGUUUGAUCCUGGCUCAGGAUGAACGCUGGCGGCGUGCUUAACACAUGCAAGUCGAGCGAGAAGGCUUUAACUAAUCCUUCGGGAGAAGAUAGAGCUGGAAAGCGGCGGACGGGUGAGUAACGCGUGGGUAACCUGCCUUGUACAGAGGGAUAGCCGCCGGAAACGGUGAUUAAUACCUCAUAAGACCACAGUAUCGCAUGAUACAGUGGCCAAAAUU
rfam:Clostridium halophilum strain M1 genome assembly, contig: G325DRAFT_scaffold00018.18